CACAGUGAAGCUCACCCCUUUUUAGUGUACAGUUUUAUGAGUUUUAACAAAUCCAUAUAGUCAUGGAGCCACCACGAUCAGCAUAAAGAGCAUUUCCAUCAGCCCAAAAGGUUGUGCCCUGAAGCUGUCCUCUGGGGCGAACAUCCUGUGUACCCAGUGGAAUAUGUAUGACACACAUAAAAUGCUGUCCUGCUCCAAGGGGCUGAACCAGGGCUGGGUCGGUGGUGACAGGAACAGGACAGAUGGGAGACGUUCCGCUAAUGUGACUCUGGUUAAAACUAAGGUUUUCAGGUAUGAAGGAGGUGGACGUUCUGUACAGUGGAGCCACAGCCCUCCCCACCCCCUGGGUUUCUCUGACCCUGAGACCUGAUGCACAGAGAGGUUAAGACUCACACAGCCCAUGAGCGGCGGAAGUCCCGGCACUCUGUCCUUCAAUCUGCUCAUCGCAGUCACUUCCUCCUGACCGUGGACUCUUCUUCCCAGCCUUUUCCUUCAAGCUGGAGGCCCGGAAGUGUGCAGAGGACAGUGAGGGGCCUCAAGUGUGGACAUCACAUGAGUACUGAAGAAGGACCCCUAGGGCUUCCGUGAAAAGAGGCCUCCAAUUGCAAAGCUGCUUUCUAUCAGACGAGGUCACGGACAGUAGAGGGGUGCCUGGCUGCCGGCCCACCCCACCCAGGACGAGGCAGCCCUCAGCGGAAUGGAAGACUCUGUGGCCAGUGCUCUUUGGGGCCUUGGCACCAGGUCCUCAGCAGCUGGGCCAGCCCUGCUACUCCCUCAUCCUGGAAGAGCCCCAGAGAAUAGGGGCCAUGCCCAUGCCCGCUGUGUCCCCUGCACCCCACGCAGGCUGGGGCACAGCAGCCACAGGACACAGGUGCGGGGUGAGUGGGGCUCCAGGGAAAGUGGGCACCCUCAGGCCUCAGCACACGGAGGCUUCCCGCCCCCACCUCCUGGGAGGCUGCCCAGUCAGGCUCCUACCUGGGUUUCCAGGUGCCUCGGUGCUCCCCCGGGAUCCUACAGCCCUGCAUGGUGAUGGGCACACUCCUCUUGUCUUCCCCAUUAGCUUGUGAAUGCCUCCAAGGCAAGACACAGCUGGGGCCAGAUCCUGUCUUCCUUCCCCACUUACUCGCUGUGUGACCUUAAGCAAGUCACUCAACACCUCUGUGCCUAUUUCCUCAUUUGGAAAAUGAAGUUAAUAAAAGCACCUAACUUAUAUGUGUUAACUAUGGAAGAUUAAAUGAAUGCAUACAAAUAAAAUGUUGUUCCCGUCUCUAUUCCCAGUGAUCAGGGUCUCGGAAUUGCUUGCUGAAUAAAUGGCUGCCUGGACAAAGGACUUUGUCCCUCUGGCCCCCUCACGUGGACUCUCUCUGGUAAUAAGGCCGUUGCUGAGCAGCGAUGAGAGGCUGAGGAGCAUAGACGGGCACCAGGCUGCCUAGGUUCAGAUGCCAGCUGCCCCCGCUCUUUGCUGUGUAACGUUGGGGGUACUCCCUCAGCCUCUCUGUUUCUGCUGUGUAAGUGAGGAUGGCUGUGCUCCUGCCUCCCUGCAGAACUGUUGGCAGGUGAAGCAGGCAACACUUAAGAGCUGCAGUGUGGGCCCUCAUGCAGAUUUUAAUAAAAAUAACUCCCCUUCCCCUCGGUGUCCCCUUCCUCCCUCUAAAGGCUGGUAAAGAAAGGCAGGGAGGAGCGCAUUUG
rnacentral:lncRNA from 1 species